AGUCGAGCGGUAGCACARAGAGAGCUUGCUCUCUGGGUGACGAGCGGCGGACGGGUGAGUAAUGUCUGGGAAACUGCCUGAUGGAGGGGGAUAACUACUGGAAACGGUAGCUAAUACCGCAUAACGUCUUCGGACCAAAGUGGGGGACCUUCGGGCCUCACGCCAUCAGAUGUGCCCAGAUGGGAUUAGCUAGUAGGUGGGGUAAUGGCUCACCUAGGCGACGAUCCCUAGCUGGUCUGAGAGGAUGACCAGCCACACUGGAACUGAGACACGGUCCAGACUCCUACGGGAGGCAGCAGUGGGGAAUAUUGCACAAUGGGCGCAAGCCUGAUGCAGCCAUGCCGCGUGUGUGAAGAAGGCCUUCGGGUUGUAAAGCACUUUCAGCGAGGAGGAAGGGUUCAGUGUUAAUAGCACUGWKCAUUGACGUUACUCGCAGAAGAAGCACCGGCUAACUCCGUGCCAGCAGCCGCGGUAAUACGGAGGGUGCAAGCGUUAAUCGGAAUUACUGGGCGUAAAGCGCACGCAGGCGGUUUGUUAAGUCAGAUGUGA
rnacentral:rRNA from 1 species